UGGCGGACGGGUGAGUAACGCGUGGAAAACCUGCCGUAUACUGGGGGAUAACACUUAGAAAUAGGUGCUAAUACCGCAUAAGCGCACAGCUUCGCAUGAAGCGGUGUGAAAAACUCUGGUGGUAUAGGAUGGUUCCGCGUCUGAUUAGCUAGUUGGUGGGGUAAUGGCCUACCAAGGCAACGAUCAGUAGCCGGCCUGAGAGGGUGAACGGCCACAUUGGGACUGAGACACGGCCCAAACUCCUACGGGAGGCAGCAG
rnacentral:rRNA from 1 species